GACGAACGCUGGCGGCGUGCUUAACACAUGCAAGUCGAGCGGAAAGGCCCUUCGGGGUACUCGAGCGGCGAACGGGUGAGUAACACGUGGGAACGUGCCUUUUGGUUCGGAACAACUCAGGGAAACUUGAGCUAAUACCGGAUGUGCCCUUCGGGGAAGAUUUAUCGCCAUUAGAGCGGCCCGCGUCUGAUUAGCUAGUUGGUGGGGUAAAGGCCUACCAAGGCUACGAUCAGUAGCUGGUCUGAGAGGAUGAUCAGCCACAUUGGGACUGAGACACGGCCCAAACUCCUACGGGAGGCAGCAGUGGGGAAUCUUGCGCAAUGGGCGAAAGCCUGACGCAGCCAUGCCGCGUGAAUGAUGAAGGUCUUAGAUU
rnacentral:rRNA from 1 species